rnacentral:rRNA from 1 species
GUUAUAUAGUCAAGCGACUAAGCGUACACGGUGGAUGCCUUGGCAACUAGAGGCGAUGAAAGACGUUGUAGCCUGCGAUAAGCUACGGGGAGUCGGCAAACAGACUUUGAUCCGUAGAUCUCUGAAUGGGGAAACCCACUCCUUAGGGAGUAUCUUGCACUGAAUACAUAGGUGACAAGAGGCAAACCCGGUGAACUGAAACAUCUAAGUAACCGGAGGAAAAGAAAUCAAUUGAGAUUCCCUGAGUAGCGGCGAGCGAAAGGGGACCAGCCCUAAAGUGCUGGUGUAGGUAGGAGAAGGCUCUGGAAAGUGCCGCCAUAGUGGGUGAUAGCCCCGUAUCUAAAACCUUAUCCAGUAUUAUUCGAGUAGGUCGGAGCACGUGAAACUUUGACUGAACAUGGGGGGACCAUCCUCCAAGGCUAAAUACUCCUAGUUGACCGAUAGUGAACCAGUACCGUGAGGGAAAGGCGAAAAGAACCCCGGUGAGGGGAGUGAAAUAGAACCUGAAACCGUGUACGUACAAGCAGUCAGAGCGGACUUGUUCCGUGAUGGCGUACCUUUUGUAUAAUGGGUCAGCGACUUAUAUUCUGUAGCAAGGUUAAGCAUAUUGUGGAGCCGUAGGGAAACCGAGUCUUAAUAGGGCGUUCAGUUGCAGGGUAUAGACCCGAAACCCGGCGAUCUAUCCAUGAGCAGGUUGAAGAUCAGGUAACACUGAUUGGAGGACCGAACCCACUGUCGUUGAAAAGCCAGGGGAUGACUUGUGGAUCGGAGUGAAAGGCUAAUCAAGCCGGGAGAUAGCUGGUUCUCCUCGAAAUCUAUUUAGGUAGAGCGUCAUGUAUUACCCACGGGGGUAGAGCACUGUUAAGGCUAGGGGGUCAUCCCGACUUACCAACCCUUUGCAAACUCCGAAUACCGUGGAGUACAGCAUGGCAGACACACUGCGGGUGCUAACGUCCGUUGUGGAAAGGGAAACAACCCAGACCGUCAGCUAAGGUCCCAAAGUUAUGGUUAAGUGGGAAACGAUGUGGGAAGGCCCAGACAGCUAGGAGGUUGGCUUAGAAGCAGCCACCCUUUAAAGAAAGCGUAAUAGCUCACUAGUCGAGUCGGCCCGCGCGGAAGAUAUAACGGGGCUCAAACCAUACACCGAAGCUACGGGUUCACCGAAUGGUGAGCGGUAGAGGAGCGUUGUGUAAGCCGUUGAAGGUGAAUUGAGAAGUUUGCUGGAGGUAUCACAAGUGCGAAUGCUGACAUGAGUAACGAUAAGGGGGGUGAAAAACCUCCCCGCCGGAAGACUAAGGGUUCCUGUCCAAUGCUAAUCAGGGCAGGGUUAGUCGGCCCCUAAGGCGAGGCUGAGAAGCGUAGUCGAUGGGAAACGGAUUAAUAUUUCCGUACUUGUAAUUAUUGCGAUGGGGGGACGGAGAAGGCUAGGCUAGCUGGGCGUUGGUUGUCCCAGUUUAAGGUUGUAGGCUGAGAACUUAGGCAAAUCCGGGUUCUUAAGGCCGAGAGCUGAUGACGGUGACUCUACGGAGUCCGAAGUAGUCGAUGCCAUGCUUCCAGGAAAAGCCUCUAAGCUUCAGAUAAUUACAAACCGUACCCUAAACCGACACAGGUGGUCAGGUAGAGAAUACCAAGGCGCUUGAGAGAACUCGGGUGAAGGAACUAGGCAAAAUGGUACCGUAACUUCGGGAGAAGGUACGCCGGUCGAUGUGAAGGACUUGCUCCGUAAGCAUUGACCGGUCGAAGAUACUAGGUGGCUGCGACUGUUUAUUAAAAACACAGUACUCUGCAAACACGAAAGUGGACGUAUAGGGUAUGACGCCUGCCCGGUGCCGGAAGGUUAAUUGAUGGGGUUAGCUUCGGCGAAGCUCUUGAUCGAAGCCCCGGUAAACGGCGGCCGUAACUAUAACGGUCCUAAGGUAGCGAAAUUCCUUGUCGGGUAAGUUCCGACCUGCACGAAUGGCGUAACGACGGCCACACUGUCUCCACCCGAGACUCAGUGAAAUUGAAAUCGCAGUGAAGAUGCUGUGUACCCGCGGCUAGACGGAAAGACCCCGUGAACCUUUACUAUAGCUUCACAGUGGACUUUGACAUUACUUGUGUAGGAUAGCUGGGAGGCUUUGAAGCGUGGACGCCAGUCUGCGUGGAGCCAAUCUUGAAAUACCAGCCUGGUAAUGUUGAGGUUCUAACUCAGGUCCCUCAUCGGGAUCGAGGACACUGUGUGGUGGGUAGUUUGACUGGGGCGGUCUCCUCCCAAAGAGUAACGGAGGAGCACGAAGGUUGGCUAAUCAUGGUCGGAAAUCAUGAGGUUAGUGUAAUGGCACAAGCCAGCUUAACUGCGAGACUGACACGUCGAGCAGGUACGAAAGUAGGUCAUAGUGAUCCGGUGGUUCUGUAUGGAAGGGCCAUCGCUCAACGGAUAAAAGGUACUCCGGGGAUAACAGGCUGAUACCGCCCAAGAGUUCACAUCGACGGCGGUGUUUGGCACCUCGAUGUCGGCUCAUCACAUCCUGGGGCUGAAGCCGGUCCCAAGGGUAUGGCUGUUCGCCAUUUAAAGUGGUACGCGAGCUGGGUUUAGAACGUCGUGAGACAGUUCGGUCCCUAUCUGCCGUGGGCGUUAGAGAUUUGAGAAGAGUUGCUCCUAGUACGAGAGGACCGGAGUGAACGAACCUCUGGUGUUCCGGUUGUCAUGCCAAUGGCAUUGCCGGGUAGCUAUGUUCGGACAGGAUAACCGCUGAAAGCAUCUAAGCGGGAAGCCCCCUUCAAGAUGAGAUCUCUCUGAUACUUCGAGUAUCCUGUAGGGCCCUUGAAGACUACAAGGUUGAUAGGCAAGGUGUGGAAGCGUUGUGAGGCGUUGAGCUAACUUGUACUAAUUGCCCGUGAGGCUUGACUAUAUAACGCCAAAA